UGAGAACAUCUUUAAAGGACAUAUUGAUGAAUCCAUAAAGGAUAAGAAAUAACAGGCAGAGCCCAGACUCAGUGGUUUGGAGACCAAGUCUUCCUCUUAGACAUCUGGACCAGUUCCCUAAAAGCCUCCAUUGCAGGAUCUAAGGGACGGAUGUAAAACCCUGCUGACUUCUUUGUGAAUGCUGUUUGGGGGAAUAAAAGCAAAUUAAGUCUCCUUCCCAAAAAGAAGAUGCCUGAAUGAUUCAUAUGCACAUUAAAGCUGGCCAAGCGCUGACCUGGUCAAUGAAUAUUCCACAAAAAUGUCUGGUGUUUCUUAAAAAGUGUGCUUCCCCAGAAGAACUUAUUGAAAUCUGGUGUGUGUAAAUG